rnacentral:lncRNA from 1 species
GUCGGCGUCUGCUUUUAACCUGUGGGAGAACCCGGCGAGCUAAGCCAAACGGAGGGCGGGAGAGAGGAAGCGGCAGCUGGCGCCUCUCGGCAACUCUAACCCUCUGAUAGAGAUCGCCAAGAUUGGUAUCCAUAGAGCUUGCUGUGGUUUGAAUGUAUCCCCCAAAGUUCAUGUGUUGGAAACUAUUCUUAAUGCAAAAGUGUUAAGAGGAAACAUUUGGAAACCCCUUGGAGGAGAUCUGCCACAUGGCCUCCAGUGAACUGUAGACUCCUGCAUAGCCUUCCAAAGUUCUUCAUUUGGUGAAUAUUAUGAGAAAUGACACGUAUGACUUUCUCCCAAAUACGUGGCUUAAACCCAAAGUACAGUGAAAUCAGAACUGACCACACAGAGUAAUUGGGGCAAGGGAGUUAUUUGUGACACAAAGCCCUCAUCACUUUAUAAAAGUACUUGCUACUGAUUACAUUGAAAACCAGUCUUCCUGAGUAAAACAUGUUUUUUGUUUUGUAUCGUUUUUGUUUUUGUUUUUUUGAGACAGAGUCUCACUCUUUGACCCAGGCUGGAGUGCAGUGGUGCGAACUUGGCUCUCCGCAACCUCUGCCUUCUGGGUUCAAGCGAUUCUCUUGCCUCAGCCUCCUGAGUAGCUGGGAUUACAGGUGCCCGUCACCACGCCAGGCUAAUUUUUUUGUAUUUUUAGUAGAGGCGAGGUUUUGCCAUGUUGGCCAGGUUGAUCUUGAACUCCUGACCUCAGAUGAUCCACAUGCCUGGGCCUCCCAAAGUGCUGGGGUUAGAGGCAUUAAGGGAGGAGACCACCCCUCAUAUUGUCUUAUGCCCAAUUUCUGCCUCCAAAGAAAGAAAAAGUAAAAACUGAAAGGCAGAAAUGAAAUCCACAAGCAGACAGCCCGGUGCCACACCCUGGGCAGAUCGACCCCUGACCUAAUCGGUUAUGUUAUCGAUUACAGACAUUGGAUAGAAAAGCACUGUGAAAAUCCCUAUCCUGUUUUGUUCAGAUCGAAUUACCGGUGCAUGCAGCCCCCAGACACGUACCCUCUGCUUGCUCAAUCGAUCACGACCCUCUCACACGCACCCCCUUAGAGUUGUGAGCCCUUAAAAGGGACAGGAAUUGCUCACUCGGGGAGCUUGGCUCUUGAGACAGGAGUCUUGCCAAUGCCCCCAGCCGAAUAAACCCCUUCCUUCUUUAACUCGGAGUCUGAGGAGUUUUGUCUGCAGCUCAUCCUGCUACAUUUCUUGGUUCCCUGACCAGGAAGCGAGGUGACUGGCACAUGGUCGAGGCAGCUGCUUAGGCAGCUUAAGCAUGCCCUGUGAAACAUCCCUGUGGGGGACUCCGACCAGCCCAGGCAACGCGGAUCCUGAGAACGCUCCCGGGUAGGCAUCUGCCCCUGUGGGAUGCCUCACCAGAGCAGUGUGUGGCAGGCCCCCGUGGAGGACCAACACAGUGGCUGAACACCGGGAAGGAACAGGAUCUUGGAGUCUGGACAUCUAAAACUUGGAUCACAGGGCCCUGGACAACGUCAGUGAACAUUAUCCUGGGGUAACCCAGUCUCCUAGGUCUGGUAACAACAACAAGGGAAACAAUCCAAAGGAUUACCUUGAACUCUGGCCAGCACCGUGGGAGACUUGGACCUAGUGAAGGCCGGUGACCCGGAAGGGCCCCUUAACUCUGGCCAGCACCGUGGGAGACUUGGACCUAGUGAAGGCCGGUGACCCGGAAGGGCCCCUUAAGCUCAGUAAUGGGCCUCCACUUGCUGGGAGGUAAAGGGUAAUUCAGAAAAAGAAAGCCAAAUGCUUUGGGAGACUUAGGAGAAAAGAUGGAGGCUCUGUUUUUC